CGGGAGGCAGCAGUGAGGAAUAUUGGUCAAUGGGAGAGAUCCUGAACCAGCCAAGCCGCGUGAGGGAAGACGCCCCUAUGGGUUGUAAACCUCUUUUGUCGGAGAACAAAACCCGGGACGUGUCCCGGACUGCGUGUAUCCGAAGAAAAAGCAUCGGCUAACUCCGUGCCAGCAGCCGCGGUAAUACGGAGGAUGCGAGCGUUAUCCGGAUUUAUUGGGUUUAAAGGGUGCGUAGGCGGUCUGUUAAGUCAGCGGUAAAAUUGCGGGGCUCAACCCCGUCGAGCCGUUGAAACUGGCAGACUUGAGUUGGCGAGAAGUACGCGGAAUGCGCGGUGUAGCGGUGAAAUGCAUAGAUAUCGCGCAGAACUCCGAUUGCGAAGGCAGCGUACCGGCGCCAGACUGACGCUGAGGCACGAAAGCGUGGGGAUCGAACAGGAUUAGAUACCCUGGUACUCCACGC
rnacentral:rRNA from 1 species